rnacentral:rRNA from 1 species
UACGGGGGGGGCAAGCGUUGUUCGGAAUUACUGGGCGUAAAGGGCUCGUAGGCGGCCAACUAAGUCAGACGUGAAAUCCCUCAGCUUAACUGGGGAACUGCGUCUGAUACUGGAUGGCUUGAGUUCGGGAGAGGGAUGCGGAAUUCCAGGUGUAGCGGUGAAAUGCGUAGAUAUGACAUAGAACACCAAUUGCGAAGGCAGCUCGCGACACAUAUAUUGACUCUGAGGCACGAAAGCGUGGGGAUCAAACAGG